UGUCGUAGGAGACCUCGUCUACCACACGUCACGUGCGCACUACGCAUCCCUGAAUAUUCUAAGUUGAAAGACGUUUCUCUCAAGUUUAUGGUCUCAGUCCCAAAUCUGUGGCCUUACUCUUCAACUCUUCAAAAAUGCUUACUGGUCUCGCUGCCCAGCGUCUUCAUGAUAUCCGUCAAGCUUUUCGUAUCUCUCUUCAGGGAUCUCGAUCCUUGUCCACUGCUUUGAACUACGUGGAUUUCGAAUUAUAAUUUAACUGGUUAUAUCGAAAUCGUUUACCUCUCUCUUUUUAUUGAUUUUUUAAUUUUUGCUGAAGCACCUUGAUUCUCCUGAUAACAAUCCGGACCUUCCAUGGGAGUUCUCUGAUGCUAACAAAGAAAAGGUUAAGGAGAUAUUAUCUCACUAUCCAUCCAAUUCCAAGCAAUCUGCAGUUAUUCCUCUGCUAGAUCUUGCACAGCGGCAGCAUGGAGGGUGGCUUCCUGUUUCUGCUAUGAAUGUGGUAUGUUGGGCAGAAACGAAUGGUAGUCUGAGGACUUAUUUUAUGUGAGUGUGGCUAAGGUCAUAGAAGUUGCUCCUAUCCGUGUGUACGAGGUUGUGACAUUUUAUUCAAUGUUCAACAGAACAAAGGUGAGAAAGAAUACUUAUUUUUUACAUUUCGUUGCCAUUUUAUCAACCAUAUCAGUGUAGAAAAUUGCAGUUGGCCUCCAUGGAUAUUUUAUAUGGGUUUUCAGGUGGGCAAGUACCAUUUAUUGGUUUGCGGUACCACACCUUGUACGAUACGUGGUUCACGGGAAAUUGAAGAUGCAUUACUGAAACACUUAGGAGUUUGUUGCAAACCUGUAUGAAUGGCCAGAUAUCCGGCUAGCUGUAGGUUCCAGCAAAUCUCAACAGCUCCUCCAGCAGGCUCCAGACACAGCCUCCUUCCUACAGAUUCAGUAUUCCAGUUUCCUGCCUACCGCAACACAUUCAUCAACCUCCUGGGAUUCACUUAUGGCAACAAGAAAUAAGAAUAGUCACAGUUCAUAAUCAAUCUAGUGAAUUCUCUAGUGAUUAUGAAGGCAGGAAACCUCAACUGAUUUCAGCUGCUCUAGUGAAUUCUCCAUUCUGUCCUCACCCAUUUGGUUUUUCUUUUUGCUCUCAGUUGGGCCAACAUCCUCACCUCCUGGACUGUCUUCUAGAUUCUUCCCUUUGGGCCUGCGAUUUUUAAUUAGAUUCCCAUCAGAGUUAAGCGCAAUGGUGGGUUUAUACAUCGUACUUUUGAUGCUUUUCAUCUCACCUCAUGCUAAACCCAUGUGGAUCUAAAACUGCUAGUGCAAAGAGUGAGCAAGUUUUAUUUGUGAUGUGCAGAAGUAACAAAAGAUGGUUUGUUUUCUGUUGGAGAAAUGGAGUGCAUGUGAAGUUGUGUAAAUGCUCCUAUGAUUACAGUGGCUGAUUACUCCAAUGGAUCAGAAGGAUAUACUUACAAUUAUUACGCCAGUCUAAUUAUCAUUCCUUUGAUCUUUCCAAGUUUUGUGUAUUUAUGCACAAGUGAUCAAAAGUCUUGGAAUGCAGGAAGAUGUCACCUCAAAACGAGUUGUGGAGAUAGUUGAGAUAUUAAGAAGGGGGUAGAAGGCAGCGGCUGGCACUCAAAAUCCAAAUCGCAUUAAGUGUGGACCAGAAGGAGGAAACACUACUUUGCUAAGUGAACCAAAACCUCCUCCAUGCCGGGAUCUUGAUGCCUGCUAAAGUUGGAUAGUUGCAUCUCCAAUAAUGCAAUGCACAGAAUUGUCAGGCUUUGCCAGGUUGUAUGCUCUUUGAAUUUGUUCAGCUCAACCAUUUUUUUUAUAGCUGCCAGUUUGAUUUCUGGUGGAUAUUCUGCCAGGUUGUAUGCUCUUUGAAUUUGUUCAGCUCAACCAUUUUUUUAUAGCUGCCAGUUUGAUUUCUGGUGGAUGUUCUGUUUUAUACGACUCCAAUCUUAUUUCAAGUUAUGGGAUGACUCAUUUACUUUAAA